rnacentral:tRNA from 1 species
GCGGGGGUUGCCAAGCCAGGUCAACGGCGCCAGAUUCAGGGUCUGGUCCCGAAGGGGUUCGGGGGUUCAAAUCCCCUCCCCCGCACCA